UUUUAGUAACAUGUUAUGUCAUUCUGUAUCUAUUUUUAGCAACAAGCGAAGCAGAGUGAAGUACAAGUUCAGCAGAUGCAGUCAUUGCAGGAGGCAGCCAACCAGCAAAGAGCACUACUACUGAUGAGCAGCUGAUGAGAUACAUUACGUCCUUGAUUAUCCGUACCUCUUUUAUCCAAACCCUCUUUUAUCCAAACGCAUGGCUGUCUCUAAUGCUCAGCCUCAGACUAGUUAAUUAAUUAAUAACCGGUUAAAAUGGCUACUACAGCAAGGAGCUUAAACAAGAGAGAAACCAUUAAAGAGAAGCCUGAGAUGCUUUGCGAGUUAAAGAAAGAAAAGUCAUGCACAUUUCUUUCAAAGAAGUAUGGGAUAGGUUAAUAUACCAGACAAUGUCACUGAGAGAUAUUCUCAUUCUCUCUCAGUUUGGAGUGUGCUCCAACCACUAACUGGAUAAUUGUGUUUGGAGGAAAGAGGAACUUUUCAACAAUCAUAAGUGAUUUAGCAGUUAUUGAACUCAGAUAUACUAGUAAUAACGAUUGGUCUACUAGUAUAAUACCUCUGGACCAGUAUCAAGAGAAACUACAAGAAAGGAGAAGAGAAUGGGAAGCAUCUCAACCUGUUCAACCUGAGGAUAGAAGAGAA